GGACGAGUAUGGACGAGGCUCUGAGGGCGGUGACUGACGCCGCUGAUCACAGUCAAGAGGAUUUCCUCAAGCAGAACUUUGAGAUGCUGGCAGAGAGCUGCAGUACAGAUGAGCAGAGCAGAGCCCUGAGGCUCAGCAUGUCUUCACGCUUCCUGGCCAGAGGACAUAAUAACAGAGCUGCACCUCUGUUUGCCAAAGCAAAUGGGAAGGAGCUGGGCACCCCGUCUGCGAAGCCCCCGGUGUCAAAAGUGCGGCCCUUGAUGGAAGACGGAGAGAGCACGAGCACAGACGAUACAACCCCGCUGUCUCCUGGCAGGAAAGGGGAGCCAAAGUAAGAAGAAAACACAGACUGCAUAUUCUUCAGUGCUGCUCGGGCAGAUUUGGAUGAAUUAACUGUGAAUGUGAAUGCUUGAA
rnacentral:lncRNA from 1 species